rnacentral:rRNA from 1 species
UGGGGAAUUUUUCGCAAUGGGGGAAACCCUGACGAAGCAACGCCGCGUGGAGGAUGAAGGCCUUCGGGUUGUAAACUCCUGUCGACCGGGACGAAAGUAGUCCGACCCAAUACGUCGGGCUAUCGACUGUACCGGUGGAGGAAGCCACGGCUAACUACGUGCCAGCAGCCGCGGUAAUACGUAGGUGGCAAGCGUUGUCCGGAAUCAUUGGGCGUAAAGCGCGCGCAGGCGGUCCUUUAAGUCUGAUGUGAAAUCUUGCGGCUCAACCGUAAGCGGUCAUUGGAAACUGGGGGACUUGAGUGCAGGAGAGGAAAGCGGAAUUCCAUGUGUAGCGGUGAAAUGCGUAGAGAUAUGGAGGAACACCAGUGGCGAAGGCGGCUUUCUGGCCUGUAACUGACGCUGAGGCGCGAAAGCGUGGGGAGCAAA